rnacentral:sRNA from 3 species
AUAUUGUACGUUGAGUGCGGGUGAGAAGCUGCGUUCAGGUUCGAGCCGAGCGAAGCGAGACAACGUUGCGCUUGCCGCAACGACCCGAAGGGCAAGGGCAAGGGCAAAGCCCGAGUAAUCCUGCACGACUCUCUA